GAGUUUGAUCGUGGCUCAGAUUGAACGCUGGCGGCAUGCCUUACACAUGCAAGUCGAACGGCAGCACGGGAGCUUGCUCCUGGUGGGCGAGUGGCGAACGGGUGAGUAAUGCAUCGGAACGUAUCCUGGAGUGGGGGAUAACGUAGCGAAAGUUACGCUAAUACUGCAUAUUCUGUGAGCAGGAAAGCGGGGGACCUUCGGGGCCUCGCGCUCUUGGAGCGGCCGAUGUCGGAUUAGCUAGUUGGUGAGGUAAAGGCUCACCAAGGCGACGAUCCGUAGCAGGUCUGAGAGGAUGAUCUGCCACACUGGAACUGAGACACGGUCCAGACUCCUACGGGAGGCAGCAGUGGGGAAUUUUGGACAAUGGGGGCAACCCUGAUCCAGCCAUGCCGCGUGAGUGAAGAAGGCC
rnacentral:rRNA from 1 species